UCCUGCCUCAGCCUCCUGAGUAGCUGGGAUUACAGGUGCCAGGCACCACACCCAGCUAACUGAAUUGAGCAGGUUCCUUAAUGUGGUCUAGGUUGAAGACAGCAUCAAGGAAACAAUGCAGGAAUUAACACUCAUCAAACAGGGACGAAAGGUCUCCAUAUGUUGCCCAGGCUGGUCUUGAACUCUACAGGUGGUACAUUCAAUACCAAGCUGAGAACACCCUCUCAAACUGAGAUGAGAAACAGACUCAAAGAGGUUAGGAAAUUCACCCAUGGUCACAGAGAUAGACAAGGAAAAAGGGAAAUAAGAAGGCCCAAGAAGAGGGAGGGAGAGAGAUGGAAGAACUGCCGGUUGGUGGAGCAGUCAGAACAUACAUAUUUCUCGAUCAAGUUGGCCGUCUUACAUGGAACAUGGAAAGUUAUCUUUUCCAAGGCAAUCAGGAAAAGUUCUCAAGGCAACUGUGUGCAAGGUAAUGAUGGAUAUUAGAGAAAGGGAAAACUUAUAGUAAGACUAGGUUUUCCUGUAGAGGUUUUCUUUAAAAGACUGAGGGAGCACAGCUCUAGGCUGACUGAAUUACCUUCUCUGGAAGCAGGUCAGUACAAUAGUCCUUUGUCAUGGAGGAGGAUUAGUUACUAAAUGUGGGGAAAAGGGAGCUACAUUUUGAACAAAGUAUAACUACUCAGAAAGAUGUAGAACUAAGUUAAUACCCAAUGACUGAGACUUUAGGGCUCAUGAUGAAAGACAUGAACUACUGUAAAAAAUGGGGAAAUCUAUCCCACAUAAAGAGGCAAGGAAGAACUACGUAAGGGACUUGCCAACAGGCUCAACUAACAGGUGUCUGGGCUCAUUCUGCAGUAUAUAAAAGAAUUUGACCAGCAUCAGUAUUUUCCAAGGAAUGCCUAAGAGUUUACUGGGGAGGGAAACAAGAAAAUAGGAAUGGGA
rnacentral:lncRNA from 1 species